CAAGGUAGAUCGGUCCGGUGUGGAAGCAUGGUGACAUGUGGAGCUGACGGAUACGAAUCGGUCGAGGGCUUCACCUG
rnacentral:rRNA from 1 species